rfam:Epulopiscium sp. Nele67-Bin004 Nele67MMBin003_210, whole genome shotgun sequence.
AUUUCAAUACAUCUUAUGUUACGGUUCAUC